CGGCUGCACUUUCCUGUGCCCCCGCCGAGGAGAGCUGAGGAGCAACGGCCAGUGGCCUGGCGAGUUUCCCCGGAGAGGAGCCGGAUUCCGGUGCAGGGACGGAGCGAGGAGUCAGAGCAGAGUAGUGUAAAAAUGGAAGAGCAGGGGCCGAGAAGACCCAUUCAAAGGGAGAGACUGGAGUCCAAAGGAAAAAGAUCUCCUGCAGGCCAAGAUGAGACCUUCGGAGAUCUUCUGCCUUGUGCAGAUUUAUGUGAAAUUAAGAAGGAGGCAGAGGAGGGGCAGCCACAGCAGCACUGGGAUGCCCAGUGGCAGGAUUUCCUGAAGACAAUACGCCCCCCUCAUUCAAGCUGGGAAACCCCACAGGCUCCCAGUCCUCCCCACUCCAGGGAUGGUGUCCUACUGGCCUCCUUCAGGGGAGCUGCGGAUUACAGCCAGUGGCCCAGCAGGAUAGCAGGGGGGACAGACCAGACCCUGCUCCAAGACACUGAGGGGCUUCC